UACGAAGGGGGCUAGCGUUGCUCGGAAUCACUGGGCGUAAAGCGCACGUAGGCGGCUUUCUAAGUCAGGGGUGAAAUCCUGGAGCUUAACUCCAGAACUGCCUUUGAUACUGGAGAGCUUGAGUCCGGGAGAGGUGAGUGGAACUCCGAGUGUAGAGGUGAAAUUCGUAGAUAUUCGGAAGAACACCAGUGGCGAAGGCGGCUCACUGGCCCGGUACUGACGCUGAUGUGCGAAAGCGUGGGGAGCAAACAGG
rnacentral:rRNA from 1 species